AGUUAUCUGGUCAUUUACUUGCAUAUCAAUAUAUCCAGUUAUCUGGUCAUUUACUCUACAUUACAAUUUGUGUUUUCAAUAUAACUUAGUAUUCAUAUACUAUAGUUGUGUGUAAAACACUAUCAAGCAAGUUGACUCAGUAUUCAUAUACUGUAGUAAGCUUCAGAGAGUAAUACUUACAUCAUUAUAUCAAUCAAAAUCAUAAUAUCCUUAUAUCAUUACUUGUUCAACCAUUUGUUUAUUUAGCAUUUACAGGUAAUUCCGCAAUCAACCUGUAUAAAUCGAAAAGAGGCUAUUACCCCCCCUUAUAGCCUCGGAUCACGAUCCAACACUUUUGUCUGAUGGGGUGGGCGCACCGCGAGCUUGUGCUCUGCCAGCGCCCUGGGCACGCCACUCAACUCCCCCAGCUCGUCUGCGAACAAGUCCUCGUUCUUCCUGAGGAUCUACUCCAGCUCCCCUUUCAAGUCUCGCAGGAGGUCCUUCCCUAUACGUACCUCGCUCCGGUCGAGGCCGAUUAGGAUCGUGUGGGACACUGGCGCCGGCUUCGUGACGCACUCGCGCGCCGAAUGCGGUAGGCCUUCGUCCGACGUCAUCACCUCGCUGACCGAAUUGAAGUAGCACUCGAGCGCCUUCUUCUAGGAUCCUCUGACCGUGCACACUCCCUCUUCGGUUGGAAAUUUGAGGCACUGGUGGAACGAAGACAUCACCGCCUGGAACUCGUGCAGCGCCGCUCUUCCUAGGAUGGCAUUGUAUCCGGACGUGAAGUUUACCACAGUGAACGUGACUUCGACUGUCCUUGCUUAAGCGUGUCGGCCCAAGGUGACCGGGAUGGAUAUCGUUCCCGCCACCGGAACUUCUGCCUGUCUGAAUCCUCUGAUGGGGGCCCGGCAUGGGAGCAGGUCUGUGCGGGCCAAACCGAGGUCGAUAAAGGCGUUCCAGUACAGUACGUCUAUGGACGCCCCUGUGUCCACCAAGACCCUGUGUAGGCGUACACUGGACUUAUCCCCUCUUUGGAAAAUGGGGGUUAUGACUAACGGGUCGUCGUGGGGCGUAGUGACGUCUUUCAUAUCGUCCUCCGUAAACGAGAUUUCCAUCUUCGUUCGCGGGCGCUUCGUCCCUGUCGUCCGGUCCAAAUCGGACGCGUACCGUCGCCUUUCCCAUGGGUCGUCGCCCCUCGAGGCCCCCCCUCCCACGAUGGUGAGGAUAUCCCCAAUUGCUUCGUCCGCCGGUUCUUGCUUCGGCGCUUGGUGCCCUGUAGGUAUGACCGUCGAAUGUCUCGCUAUCGGGGCGGGGGGGCUCCGGUGGUGGGUUUCAUUUUGUCCAGUACCCUUGUCAGGUUCAGGCAUUCGGCUGUCGUGUGGCCAUUGUCCUCGUGGUAUUCGCAAAACCUGCGGGUGUCCCUGAACGCUGUCGUGUCCUUCCUCAUCGGCCUUGGCGGGGUAGGGUUCCCGUUCCGCUCAACGUGAGGAAGACCUGCCUUUGAUUCGCCGCCGGGGUAAGGCCUGCUUCCCUUCGUCCCGCCCCCGUGGGGAUGCCUGUCCUGUAUGCGGCCGCCUGUGGGACGACCGGGGGCUUGGUCUGCGGCUGCUGUUGCUGGGGUUGGUUCUGCUGUUGCCCCCCCGCGCCCGCGGAGGUGUCUUUCCCCCUCUGAUGCCGCCUGCACUCCUGGAUCUUCGCUCCCAGGUAGUCCUCUACAUUGCAUUCUCCAUGGGAUCUUUCCAUGGCUUCGGCGAAAGUGCUUGGCGGCUUUCGCACCAGGUCCCCCGCGAAGAAGGUGAGUCGGAGGUUAUUCGUGACGGCGUAUAGCACCACCUCUUCCGAGAUUCCCUCGAUCUUUUGCACCUCGCUCGCGAACCGAUCCAUGUACGUGUGUGUGCUCUCCGCCUCUCCCUGCGCGAUGGCACUGAGGGUAGCUUUGAUUUUGGGUCUCCUCCGACGGUGUGCGAAGGCCGCCCGGAACACCGCCACCAGGCCUUCGUAGGUAUGCACGGACCCUGCCGGCAGCGUCCUGUACCAAGCUAUCGCGUCGCCCGUCAAGGCUCUGCGGAACAUCUGGCACCAAAUGUCCUUUCUGCCCGUCCUGUCCUCCAUGUUUGUCUUGAACGAAUGAAGAUGAUCCUCUAAGUCCGUGUCUCCCUUGUAAUACGGGAUCUUUGGGGCCCUCCAGCCCAGGGCGUAUUCCUCGUCUAGCAAGUGUUGUGCUAGAGCUUCUCCGCCCGCUCCCCCUACCGCCGGUACCGUAAUGACUCCCGGGGUUUCCGCAGGUUGGGCGUCGUUCCCGGGUCCCCCGACCGGGGGGACCGGUCCCCCGGUCCGUACAUUGGGUCGCCUCCUCCACCCCCGUCCGACUCCAAGGUGCGGGGGGUUACCGUGAGCUGGUGUACCUGCUCCUGCAGCUGGCGCUGGCUCUCCUGUAAGGUGGAUAUUAGUUCCACGAGUUGCACCCUCUCUCGCUUGUUCUCCCUUUCCGCGCGCUCCCUCUCCUCUGCGUGCUCCCUUCGACGGAGCCUCUCGUGCUCCUUUUCCUUCGUUCUACUCUCCCUUCUCUCCCGGGACCGCGACCGGGACCGCGUGCUCCUAUCCCUGGGCGGGGGUGCGGGCCCGCUACGUCUGCUCCUCCUGGGCGACUCCCACCCGUACCUUAUUUCCUCCAAUUCCAUGCGUAACCUUUCCUCCUGGGCGUCCCACUCCUCGUUGGCUCUCAUCUCCUCCGAGUACCGGUCCCGCGAGUGGUGCGGCACCGGCCGGUAUUCCAACGCCCCUCGCUCGCGUCGCCUCGAGCAUUCUCCUACCUGGUAUUCUCUUCUUCCUGUCAUCCUCCUUCUCCUCUCCGGCUGUUGCGUGUUCGUUCACGUCAGAUUUACCACUGUUGGUGUGUGAGCUCGCCGGAGUAAGCUCGCCGUCGAACCUAGUACAAGUGUUCCUCCAAGAAUUAUCAACCCCCUCCCCUGCAGGGGAGGUAUUUAUAGCCUUCCAUUGUUGUCCUUGGGCCUCGUGGGUUCGCCCGUCGGGCCCAUUCGUUCGCCCGGGCCGCCGACGGGGCUGGUUCGGUCCAUGGGUCGCGGUCCAUAGUACCAACACAACCCUAGGCGUGCCAACGUUUCUCUUGUUGCUGAUUCUCCAAACAUCGCGCUGCUUCAUCUCUCUAUUUGUGAUUGUUCAUUCUAACUCGUUUAUCUUCUUCUAAUCUUUCAUAUCAGUCUCAUAUUAUCAACUUCUUCAAAUUUCAUAUAAUAGCCUAUUUUUCAAUGUAAAAACUAUCUGUAAUAUAUAAUAACCUAUUUUAUAACUGAAAUUGGAACUGCGUACAUGAUUACACGAUCAUGAUUAGAAUGGAAACUGAAACUGAAAUUGGAAACUAAAACUGUAAAAGAUAAUUAAGUGUUUAGUUAUACUAACACUCUCUGAUUUAAUUUAAUUUUGACAGAGGCUUUAAUUCAGAUUUGAGACUACGGUGAAGGCAGUCACAUAAUCCUUCAAAGCCGGAGGUGAGCGUCUGCAACUUGCUCCACUGGCUCGGAUGUACUCCCCUCCAUAUCAAUCUCCCACAU
rnacentral:lncRNA from 1 species